rnacentral:rRNA from 1 species
UACGAAGGGGGCUAGCGUUGUUCGGAAUUACUGGGCGUAAAGGGCGCGUAGGCGGAGAGUUAAGUCAGGGGUGAAAUGCCGAGGCUCAACCUUGGAAUGGCCUUUGAUACUGGCUGUCUGGAGAUCGGGAGAGGUGAGUGGAAUUCCGAGUGUAGAGGUGAAAUUCGUAGAUAUUCGGAGGAACACCAGAAGCGAAGGCGGCUCACUGGCCCGAUACUGACGCUGAGGCGCGAAAGCGUGGGGAGCAAACAGG